AAAGCUCAAUUUUAAUUAUUUCCUUUCUAGCUUGUGGAAUCUCCUCGAUUACACCUAAAAUCUGGGCUUAAUUUAUGUGCACAGUUCUAUUAGAGUUUUAUGCUUCGUGGUGUGGACACUGCAAAAAAUUAGUUCCGAUUUUGGAUGAAGUUGCCGUCUUAUUUGGAAGUGAUAAUGAUAUUAUCAUUGCAGAAAUUAAGAUUCUUCACCAAUACCUUUGAUAUUAUGCCACAUUAGUUUACUAUUAUAACCUUGGAAAAUGAUUUGCCAUGAUUAUAUGAUGGCACUGUUCAUUCUUGCUACAUCCUAAUUCUAUGUUUCUCUGGUGUAAACUUUAAAUGCAUGCAUGGUCCCCAUUUUCUAAAAUUCACUUUUCCUAAAACUCAUUUUCAACCGCAUGUUUUAUGGGAUUCACAAUUUUAUACACACAUAUUUCAUUAACUUUUAUCAAAAUCUACUGAAAAUAGUAUUUUUAUCUAAACCAAACACGGCUUAGUAUCCUCUCCACACAGCAUACCAUAAAGGUCAUGGCAUAUCAGUAGCUGUACUGUGAAUAAUUGUAUUAUAAAAUGAUAGAUUGGGUACUAACAUCAAUAGGUAUAAUCUAUAAACAUGGCAGCAAAUCUUUAAAUAAGAAAAAGAAAUCAUAAUUGCAAAAACAGACAUGUAAAUUUUAUUUGCAACUUGACUUAUAAUUUUAUUUAUACAUCCUUGCACUUGGAUCAGUCAUGAAGUAGAAGAAAGUUGUAAAGACAUCUGACUUAUAUGGAAUUAUCCAUGGUUAAAAUUUCUCUUGCUUUAAUCUUGUUUAUUGUUUGUUUAUAA
rnacentral:lncRNA from 1 species